CCUGAGAAACCCAAAAGAUCGAAUGGAGAGAUUCAUCGUCAGCGGUGCUGGUACGUGUGCGGUUCGCGAUGUCCGAGACUCCGGUCUCGUGGCACGCGUCCGCAUGUUUUUUAUUGCCUGGUAUCGUCGGCGUGCACUUCUCCCCUAGUAGGACGUCGCGACCCGUUGGGUGUCGGUCUACGGCCCGGGUGGGUGCCUGUCUCGUGUGCGCUUUAUCGCGUUACUGCGGGUCAGACCCCCGGUUGCCUGACCGGCUGCUCGGCGGUACUCGCAAGGUAUCUGGCCGCAAAUAUUCGAACUGCGUCCGGCCCCUCGCAAGCGAGGCGAGUGUUCCCGAAUGCACGGAUCAAAUGCCGUCAUCGGGCCUAGCCAGCUGUUGGUUGAGGGUGUCCUAGGACUGGCUAUACCCAUUAUGAUACCGGUCAGCGACGCUACUGCUUUGGGUACUUUCAGGACCCGUCUUGAAACACGGACCAAGGAGUCUAACAUGUGCGCGAGUCAUUGGGAACUAUUAAGCCUAAAGGCGCAAUGAAAGUGAAGGUCGGCCCUUGCGCCGACCGAGGGAGGAUGGGCCGCGUCAUGAUGCGGUCCCGCACUUCCGGGGCGUCUCGUUCUCAUUGCGAGAAGAGGCGCACCCAGAGCGUACACGUUGGGACCCGA
rnacentral:rRNA from 1 species